UACGGGGGGGGCAAGCGUUGUUCGGAAUUACUGGGCGUAAAGGGCUCGUAGGCGGCCAACUAAGUCGGACGUGAAAUCCCUCAGCUUAACUGGGGAACUGCGUCGGAUACUGGAUGGCUUGGAUUCGGGAGAGGGAUGCGGAAUUCCAGGUGUAGCGGUGAAAUGCGUAGAUAUCUGGAGGAACACCGGUGGCGAAGGCGGCAUCCUGGACCGAUAUUGACGCUGAGGAGCGAAAGCCAGGGGAGCAAACGGG
rnacentral:rRNA from 1 species